rnacentral:rRNA from 1 species
CUGUCGAGCUUGCUCACAGACUUAUCAUAUCCAUAACACCUGUGCACUUGUCGGAUGGCUUAGUGAAGACCGCAAGGUUGGAACUAUCCAUCUACUUUACAUAACAAUUUAGUAACAAAUGUAGUCUUAUUAUAACAUAAUAAAACUUUCAACAACGGAUCUCUUGGCUCUCGCAUCGAUGAAGAACGCAGCGAAAUGCGAUAAGUAAUGUGAAUUGCAGAAUUCAGUGAAUCAUCGAAUCUUUGAACGCACCUUGCGCUCCCUGGUAUUCCGGGGAGCAUGCCUGUUUGAGUGUCAUGAAAACCCUCAACCUUAGAUUGGUUAACACCUUUCUUUGGCUUGGAUUUGGACGUUUGCCGAUGAUAAGUCGGCUCGUCUUAAAAGUAAUAGCUGGAUCUGUCUCGCGACAUGGUUUGACUUGGCGUAAUAAGUAUUUCGCUAAGGACAUCUUCGGAUGGCCGCGUUGCAAGACUAAAGACCGCUUUCUAAUCCAUUGAUCUUCGGAUUAAUAUUCUUGACAUCUGGCCUCAAAUCAGGUAGGACUACCCGCUGAACUUAAGCAUAUCAAUAAGCGGAGGAA